rnacentral:lncRNA from 1 species
AUGGAACUGGACAAUUUGGACAGAAAAACAAGAAAACUCAUGACCAUUCAUCAUUCACUGCACCCUCGCAGUGAUGUUGACCGACUAUAUCUGCCUAGAAGAUCAGGGGGCAGAGGACUCUUACAAGUAAAACAAGCAGUCAAAGAAGAAGAACAUGCCCUGGCAGAAUAUGUAAAGCAAAGUGAAGAACCUGCUUUGAUUGAAGUCAAAAAUCAGAAACUCCUCAAAGCACAGCAGACAAAAAACCAGUACAAGAAAACCGCACUACAAACUAGAGCUGACAGCUGGCACAACAAAACACUGCAUGGAAAGUUCCUUGACAAAAUUGAAGGAAAAGCUGAUAAGGAGAAGACCUGGCUCUGGCUCACGAAUGGGACUCUGAAGAAGGAGACAGAAGGCCUGAUCCUUGCAGCCCAGGAGCAAGCCAUCAGGACAAAUGCAAUUAAGGCCAAGAUUGAAAAAUCAGCUGAUGACCCAAAAUGCAGACUGUGCAAGGAAGCUGACGAAACCAUUGAUCAUCUCCUCAGCUGCUGUAAGAAAAUUGCACAGACAGACUACAAACAGAGGCACAACUGUGUGGCCCAAAUGAUCCAUUGGAACUUAUGCAUCAAGUACCACCUGCCAGCAGCAAAGAACUGGUGGGAUCACAAACCAGCAAAGGUCGUGGAAAAUGAACACGCAAAGAUACUGUGGGACUUCCGAAUCCAGACUGACAAAGUUCUGGAACACAACACACCAGAUAUCACAGUUGUGGAAAAGAACAAGGUUUGGAUAAUUGAUGUCGCCAUCCCAGGUGACAGUCGCAUUGAUGAAAAACAACAGGAAAAACUCAGCCGCUAUCAGGACCUCAAGAUUGAACUUCAAAGACUCUGGCAGAAACCAGUGCAGGUGGUCCCGGUGGUGAUGGGCACAUUGGGUGCCGUGCCAAAAGAUCUCAGCCGGCAUUUGGAAACAAUAGACAUUGACAAAAUUACGAUCUGCCAACUGCAAAAGGCCACCCUGCUGGGAUCUGCACGCAUCAUCUGA